rnacentral:lncRNA from 1 species
AUAUAUAUAUAUAUAUAUAUAUUACUAUUUUUACAGAAGUGCAUAAGACAAUGGUUAACAAAACAUAAAACAGCACAAAUAAAAUUGAUGUAGCCUACACAGUAUGUGGUUAUUACGUUACAGGUGUACAAUUUUGUCGAGUACGGUGUAAAUAAUAUAUAUAUAAAGUUUGUUUAUUAUUUUGUGAUUCACAAGUGUUUAUUUACGGUUGCGAAUUGCAUUAUGAGAUGUUGGUCUCUGCUCUGUCCACUUUUGAUGCUGAUAAUUCAGCUGUACUGUUUAACGAAGUGACUUUUAUUUAUUUAUUUUAGUCGUUUGAAAUAAUAUAAUGCACAAGAAAUAAUAAUAUAUAGAGAAAUAAGUCUGUAAAAUAACAGAAAACUACUGGCAGUUUAUAAUGAGGUUUUUGUAGCAUAAUAUACACCACCAACACAGACAGUAUAUCAGCUGUAUACUAUUAAAAAUGCUAAUAAAAGUCACUUUUUAAAAAAACUUUUCAAUAUUAGAUGGUAUUGAAAGAGAGAUCAAUUCCAAUAAUGCAAUUCAAAAGCAGAAACAAACGGGGAAACAUCAAAAAUAAAGACAUAAAUCACAAAAUAUGGAAAACAGCUCAUAUAUGGAUUUUUUUUACUGUGUAGAUAUGGAUUUCUCAAUUAAUCUAUUGAACAUGUUGAUGAAAUGCAUUGAUAUCACUCAUUUAUAUAAUGUCUCAGUAUAUGAAUACGCAUUUACAUUGCAGAAAACUGAUCUCUUGGUUUAGUUUGACCUGUUUGUCUGGAUUUGUGUGUUUUCAGAGUUUGGAGAAUAAUGUAGAAGGGAUUGAACUGGAUGGAGUUUUUGUUGAUCAUAACGAUCCUUCACCUAAAACCUCAAAGUGUCGGCGGGAGCUGCAGAGCCUGAAGAAAGACCUCAAUGAGGUGGUGGUGUGGAAAAUCAGAUUAUGGAUGGUGAUACUUCUCAUCGUCAGUGCCAUAGUUGUGGUUAUUGCGACCACAGUCGUUGUGUGUGCAGUGGAGGACGACGUGGAUGAGACAUAUGACAGAUCCUCGUUUGUGGUGCCGCGUCUCUUCAGAGGGAACUUUACUCUGGAGAGCAGCAGUAGUUCAGCUUUAGACCAGCAGAUGCUGAUGGAGCAGCUGAAACAGGAGGUCACCGCCGUCUACAAUUCUUCUGCUGCUCUGGAACGCUACUUCAGCGAUGUGACCAUCAGCAGUUUCCAGGACUCCACAGCCCAGUUUGAGCUCCAGUUCAUGAUGCCGCCAGAAAAUGAGGAGCUGGUUCGAUAUACUUUGAGUGUAAAGAUUGUGAAGGGUGUGCUUCAGCAACACUUUUACGAUCAGGACAGCAGAGAACAGCUUAGUGUCAUCCCAACAUCGCUCAGGAUGGAAGCUUUUUAAGCAGAACCUGAACUCCAGGAUCCUGAACAACUGGAUGUUUGAAGUUAAACCACUGGUAGCCCAAUCUAAAAUGAAAACAAUCGACUUGUCACAUUUUAAUUAAAUCCUCUUUCUCUCUGACAAUCAUCUGUUAAUAUUCUUAUAAAAAUAAUUAGUAGUAAUUGUAAUUAUUUCAGCUAACCAUCCAUACUUGUUCAAAACAACUGUUGUUUUAAGUCAGCUAUGUUUUUGUAUGUUGUUAUUAUUAUUAUUACAGUAGAUGGAUGUGGUGCACUGUUUAAUGAUGUUCUCUUCUGUGGUUCUGUUUUCUUAUUGAAUUAACUUCUUUAAUAUUUUAGUCAGGUAAUUAUUUUUUAAAUGCUUUUUUAUGUAAGUUUUUUUUAUAAUAAAAAAGUUUUAAAGUUUUAAAGUUUUAUAAUAAAUAAUAUACAUACAUAUAUACAUAUAUAAAAGGCUCAAUGGCUUCAUGAUUCAACCACCUUUCACAUUCAGCACUUUUAUAGGAGUAUCAUUCAUUCAUUUUCCUUCCCCUUUAUCCCCUUUAUUAAUCAGGGGUCGCCACAGCGGAAUGAACCGCCAACUUAUCCGGUAUAUGUUUUAUACAGUAGAUGCUCUUCCGGCUGCAACCCAUCACUUGGAAACAUCCAUACACACUCAUUCACUCUCAUACACUAUGGACAAUAGUGUACCUUACCUAAUACACCAAUAGCGCAUGUGUUUGGACUGUACCGGAGCACCCAGAGGAAACCCAUGCCAACACGGGGAGAACAUGCAAACUCCACACAGAAAUGCCAACUGGCCCUGCCGAGGCUCGAACCAGCAACCUUCUUGCUGUGAGGCGAUCGGGCUGCCCACUGCGCCACCAUGACGCUGAUUAAUAUAAAGUGGUGAAAUCAUUGUUCUUUGCUGC